rnacentral:rRNA from 1 species
UGUGCAGACGGUCUGUUAAGUCACUUGUUAAAUUCUUCAGCCUAACUGAAGACCUGCGGGUGAAACUAAUUGACUAGAGGGUGGAAGAGAGAAGUGGAAUUCUCGGAGUAGCGGUAAAAUGCGUAGAUCUCGAGAGGAACACCAAUGGCGAAGGCAGCUUCUUGGUCCACUCCUGACGUUCAAACACGAAAGCGUGGGGAGCAAACA